rnacentral:lncRNA from 1 species
GAGUGGAUACCUAUAGAGGUCGGAUACUUGUAUAGCUAAGAAAAAAUCUCUUUUCUUUUAAAUCCAGAUUUGAAGAAAGAAAUUAUAAAAUAGGUAUGUGAUUCGAUUACAUGUUAAAUUUUAGCAUAUGUCAAUUUCAGCAUAUGAAAUAGAUCCUUAUUAUUUAUAUUUUUAUGCAUGCAUGAUAUAGAUUAAAAAUAUUUUAAUCUAUUUUUUUACUAUG